CUUAAAACCCRRAGGACUUGACGGUGUCCCACCCACCUAAGAGGAGCCUGUUCUAUAAUCGAUGAUCCCCGCUACACCUAACCAUUCCUCGCCUUUCAGUCUGUAUACCUCCGUCAAAAGCCUACCAUGUGAACGCUUAUAGUAGGCCCAAUGAUUCCCAUCAACACUUCGGGUCAAGGUGCACCUCACGGAACGGAAAGCAAUGGGCUACAAUUUCUAAUUUAAAACAUACAAAAGACUGUGUGAAAUCCUAGUCAUGAAGGUGGAUUUAGUAUUAAAAGAAAAAUAAAUUUUCCCUUUAACCCCGGCCCUGG
rnacentral:rRNA from 1 species